CAUAGUAUUUUGAACAAACUCAUCGAAAGAGAACAAUUGUUGCCGAGCUAACGACGUUUCCUCAAAAAACGACGAGAUCACGGUCCAACAAUCCUCCUGAGUCAAUGUCUCAUUGUAUUGAUCUAUUAUGGUGUUAAAAAUGACUUUAUUAGUAACUUACAAUCCUCAUAAGACAUUGUUGUUGAAAUGGCACACGCAACAGGAUAUGUUGGCGGUGAGGAAGAGGAAUAAAUGUUGAGGCUACCGUAACAAGGAUAUCGUACCGUA